AUAUGACCCUACAAUCCCACUCCUGGGCAUAUAUCAGGAGAAAUACAUGGUCAGAAAGGCUACACGAAUCCCAGUGUUCACUGCAGCACUGUUUACAAUAGGCAAGAUGUGGAAGCCACCUAAAUGCCCACUGACAGAGGCAUGGAUAAAGAAGAUAAAGAAGUAGUAACAGAAUACUACUCAGCCAUUAAGAAACAGUGCCACUUGUAGCAACGUGGAUGGAUCUGGAGAUUGUCAUACUAAGUGAAGUAAGUCAGACAGAGAAAGAAAUAUGAUAUCACUCAUAUGCAAAAUCUAACUUAGUUGCAGGGCAGGAAUAAAGACGCAGAUGUAGAUAAUGGAUUCGUGACACAGUGAGGGAAGGAGAGGGUGAGGCAAAGUGAGAGAGGAGCGUUGACAUACAUGCACCAUACUCACGGAAUUCAGCCUGGCCUCCAUGAUGGCCUAGAGGGCUAGGAAGGGGCGGGAAGGGAGGGCGGCUCGAGAGGGAGGGGCUACAUGUAUACUUGUGGCUGAUUCAUGCUGUUACACAGCAGGAACCAACACAACACUGUGAAACAUCCUCCAGUUUAAAAAAAAAAAGAAAGAAAGAAAUGAAACGAAUUCAUUAAGAAAUAGUGACUCACAGACUUAGAGAACAAACUUUAGGUUAUGGGGGAGAAGGAAAGGAUGGGGAGAAAGCAUAGUUAGGGAGUGGAGUGACAUGCUCACAUUGCUAUACUGAGAGUGGAUAACCAGCAAGGACCUACUGUAUUCCCCAGGGAACUCUGCUCAAUAUAAUGUGGCAGCUUGCAUGGGAGGGGAGUUCAGCAGAGAAUGGAUACAUGUAUAUACAUGGUUGAGUCCUUUUGCUGUCCACCUGAAACCACCCCAACAUUAUUGUCUAUACUCCAAAGUUAAAAUAAUUUAGCCUCUCAUUCAUUGGUUUUGCAUGUAGGAAAGCACUUAACAUUUCUGUUAACUAUUAAUGAAAUUGUGUUCCUCUGUUAAAUUCUUUUCUUCAUCAUCUUUCAUUUCUAUUUCUUUUCCAAUCCUCUUAUUUCUUAUAAGGAGUGAUGAGCAGGAUUCAGGUUUUUCAAGUGUAGAAGCAUAUGUUUGUACACGGGUGGAAAUAUAUAUAUAUAUUUUUUCCUUUCCAAAGUCCCAACUAUAUCCCAGUUGUCGUGCUUCAUUGAAAGUUUAACAUAAUAUUCUCAGUCAAUCUCUGAUUCAUUUCCUGGGCUAUAACAGAGAGCUCAAAUUCCAUUACCCUGGAAUUAAGGUUUGGAUAUUUUUUCUUGAAUGAAUUAUAUGCUAUUACAUACACUAAAUUUCAUUAUAUUUUCAAAAUGUUAAGUCUACUAGCAAUUUUAAUUCACAAGAGAAAUAAGAAAGAGUCUUUCAAGUAUGUCUUUUAGCAUCCCAUUAGACAUGAACAUUAUAUUUUUUAAUAUUUCAGAAACUACUAAUUCUCUUUGGAAAAUGUUCACAUUUCAGUUUACCAACAAUCUGUUACUUAGUAAUUAAAGAAGUACGAUAUAGAACUCUCUUGCUUCUAAUUUCUUAUAUAACAUUCUUAAAAAUUUGUGCACAUAUUUUAUACAAAGUUUUAACUUGAUAUGAGAAUAUGUUAAAUUUAUUGAUUUGUUGUUGAUA
ensembl:lncRNA